UGGGGGAUAUUGCACAAUGGGCGAAAGCCUGAUGCAGCGACGCCGCGUGGGGGAUGAAGGCUUUCGGGUUGUAAACCUCUUUCGCUAUCGAACAAGGCCCGCUUAGGGUGGGUUGAGGGUAGGUGGAGAAGAAGCGCCGGCUAACUACGUGCCAGCAGCCGCGGUAAUACGUAGGGCGCGAGCGUUGUCCGGAAUUAUUGGGCGUAAAGGGCUGGUAGGCGGCUUGUUGCGCCUGCUGUGAAAACGCGGGGCUUAACUUCGCGCGUGCAGUGGGUACGGGCAGGCUUGAGUGUGGUAGGGGUGACUGGAAUUCCAGGUGUAGCGGUGGAAUGCGCAGAUAUCUGGAGGAACACCGAUGGCGAAGGCAGGUCACUGGGCCAUUACUGACGCUGAGGAGCGAUAGCAUGGGUAGCGAACAGG
rnacentral:rRNA from 1 species